UACGUAGGGGGCGAGCGUUGUCCGGAGUUACUGGGCGUAAAGGGCAUGCAGGCGGUCGGACGCGUUUCGGGUGACAGCGGGUGGCUUAACUACCCGAGUGGUCGAAAGACGGUUUGACUUGAGGACGCGAGAGGGACACGGAAUUCCGGGUGGAGUGGUGAAAUGCGUAGAUAUCUGGAGGAACACCGGUGGCGAAGGCGGCAUCCUGGACCGACAUUGACGCUGAGGCGCGAAAGCCAGGGGAGCAAACGGG
rnacentral:rRNA from 1 species